rnacentral:tRNA from 1 species
GAAAUAUAAAGCUUAAAAUCAAGCUGCUAACUUGAUUUUUAGUGGUUUAAUUCCAUUAAUAUUUCU